GACAGCGGAGGGACAUUAAGAGUUAUCUAAUUCCCAAAACCAUGUGAACUUACCUAUGUUGCCUCGGCGGGGAACCUACUCGGGGAGCCACUCUAGAGUGGCCUACCCGGUACCUACUCGGUAACUACACUGUAGUUGUAGGCUUACCCGCCGGCGGACCAUUAAAACUCUUAUUUAUUUUGGCACUUCUGAAUUAUUAUCAUAAUAAGUUAAAACUUUCAACAACGGAUCUCUUGGUUCUGGCAUCGAUGAAGAACGCAGCGAAAUGCGAUAAGUAAUGUGAAUUGCAGAAUUCAGUGAAUCAUCGAAUCUUUGAACGCACAUUGCGCUCGCCAGUAUUCUGGCGAGCAUGCCUGUUCGAGCGUCAUUUCAACCAUCAAGCUCUGCUUGCGUUGGGGAUCCGCGUCUGACGCGGUCCCUCAAAAACAGUGGCGGGCUCGCUAGUCACACCGAGCGUAGUAACUCUACAUCGCUAUGGUCGUGCGGCGGGUUCUUGCCGUAAAACCCCCAAUUUCUAAGGUUGACCUCGGAUCAGGUAGGAAUACCCGCUGAACUUAAGCAUAUCAAUAAGCGGAGGA
rnacentral:rRNA from 1 species